rnacentral:misc_RNA from 1 species
CCGUAAGCGGGCGCCGGCGGCCACAUCCGCAGCGAUUCUUUCAGAAUUUGCGAAAUGUAGUGAAGCUGCGUGACCUGCUGGAAGGUCGGCUUGGCGUCGAUGGCGGCCCCGAGAACGCGGUCGACUUCCUCAUAAGCCUUCUUCAGCACCUCCGGGUGCUUGAGCAUGGCGUAGAUCGCGCAGGACAACAGGCCGCUCGUGGUCUCAUGGCCGGCGAUCAGGAACGUGUUGAUCUGGUAACGGAUGUUGACGUCGUCGAGCUGCUCGCCGGUCACCUUGUCGACGCCGGUCAUCAUCGCGCCGAGCAU